rnacentral:rRNA from 1 species
UACGUAGGGUGCAAGCGUUGUCCGGAAUUAUUGGGCGUAAAGAGCUCGUAGGCGGUCUGUCGCGUCGGAUGUGAAAAUCCAGGGCUUAACCCUGGACCUGCAUUCGAUACGGGCAGACUAGAGUUCGGUAGGGGAGACUGGAAUUCCUGGUGUAGCGGUGAAAUGCGCAGAUAUCAGGAGGAACACCGGUGGCGAAGGCGGGUCUCUGGGCCGAUACUGACGUGAGGAGCGAAAGCGUGGGGAGCGAACAGG